rnacentral:tRNA from 1 species
AGCUGGAUAGCUCAGUCAGUAGAGCAUGAGACUCUGAAUCCCAGGGUUGUGGGUUCGAAUCCCACGUUGGGUG